rnacentral:rRNA from 1 species
UGGGGAAUAUUGCACAAUGGGGGAAACCCUGAUGCAGCGACGCCGCGUGAAGGAAGAAGUAUUUCGGUAUGUAAACUUCUAUCAGCAGGGAAGAAAAUGACGGUACCUGACUAAGAAGCCCCGGCUAACUACGUGCCAGCAGCCGCGGUAAUACGUAGGGGGCAAGCGUUAUCCGGAUUUACUGGGUGUAAAGGGAGCGUAGGCGGCGAUGCAAGUCAGAAGUGAAAGCCCGGGGCUCAACUCCGGGACUGCUUUUGAAACUGUGUUGCUAGAUUGCAGGAGAGGUAAGUGGAAUUCCUAGUG